CCUUGUUGGACAGUAUUAGUGUUGAGGAGGUAUCCAUGGGACACUUUGCGCUUCGGACCAUGACUGGAUCAGGUGGACACUGAGAGGGAACGCUGCUGCUUUGGAUGCAGAAGGAGAGGUUCCAGUGCCACUGUGAGAAGCUGCUUCAGUCCCAUCAGAGCUGAGAGGUGUCCGAUACAGCAGACGCAGAACAGGGAACGCCACACUACGCAGGAAGGCUGACAACCGAUUGGAGAGGAGCGUGACGACAACAACCCAACCCAUUCCAACGCUAGCCGUGCCAGGCUACUGCCAACCCCAGGACGCCAUGAUGAUGACCGUAAUGAUGAUGAUGGCGAUGAUGGUGACAUGUAGCUCCUUGCUCCUCUUGGGACUCAUGGCCUCCCAGGUCUCGUCCAGCGGAAUCCCCAAGACCAGUGACUCCUCUUCACCCUCCUCGUCCUCCUCACACCCAUCCUCCUCUUCCCCUCGC
rnacentral:lncRNA from 1 species